UACGUAGGGGGCAAGCGUUGUCCGGAAUCAUUGGGCGUAAAGCGCGUGUAGGCGGCCCGGUAAGUCCGCUGUGAAAGUCGGGGGCUCAACCCUCGGAUGCCGGUGGAUACUGUCGGGCUAGAGUGCGGGAGAGGCGAGUGGAAUUCCUGGUGUAGCGGUGAAAUGCGUAGAUAUCAGGAGGAACACCUGUGGUGUAGACGGCUUCUGGACCAUAGCUGACGCUGAGACACGAAAGCGUGGGUAGCAAACAGG
rnacentral:rRNA from 1 species